UAGUGCAAGCUGUUGGAGUUAAUUAUAAAAAUAGGUGAGAGAAAGUUGUUAAUGUGAGUGAAGAGUUGACUAAGCCACUGAAAUGUUGCAUGUUAAAGAGACAAUAGGGAAAAGUUGAGUGUUAGGCAUUUUAUGUGUGUUGGAAACAUAAAUUAAUGCAAGUGAUGUGCGUGCAUGAGCUGUUGUCUGGUUGUCUUCGUCCAAUCUUCACCCUUCUGUAUUUAAGGAAAAAAAAAAAAAAAAAAAAAAAAAAGAAGAAGCGAAAAAGUUCCAUGAAUCAUGGCUUGGCACACGGUGCCACUAAGGUCAAUCGCCACCUUUCAUGUUUUUCCCCUUUUCUGCGCUUCUGUGGCUUCCGGUAACUAACACUUGGACUGCCUUAUCUUGCAUUGUUGUUGGAAAUGUUAGAUUCGAUUAUCAUGUUUCAUUUAACUUAAUUACAGUUAUGCACUCAUUAUUUUCCCAUCUUAGUUUUCCCCUCCAUUACUUCCUUUUGUUUUCAGCUAUCCGAUUCACCUCUAUACUGGAUUAAUGUCUACUAUCAACGGUACUCAUAAAUUAUUUUGUUAAUUGCAUGUAUAACGAAGAGGAAAAAGAAUAAUUAAGAAUAUAAUUUACAGGCAUCUGAGGAUUAAAGAUAGGGAUUGUAGAAAUUAUAUCCAUAGCAACAAAUCAUUCAAGAGGGGGAUGUUGAGUAUUUGAGGAAGUUCUUUUGCGAAUUGCUAAAGAUAGGGAAUUGUUGAAGAAUAUUAUUUGCAUCCAUCCUCAGAGUAAAGUUGCUUAUGAGGACUUCCAUGAUGUAGUUUGUUUUUGUUGUGUAUGACUUCAAUUUCAGUCAAAUUUGAGAAAUAAUCUUUCAGUUAAACUUUGUUUAUUUGUUUCAAUCAAACUCUGAUUAAUCUAGAUUAUUUUAUUAUUAUUUGACCUGUGAAUUUAACUUAUAAAUAGGCUCUUUUACAACCUUAAAAAAAUACUCAUAUUAGAAAUUAG
rnacentral:lncRNA from 1 species